rnacentral:rRNA from 1 species
UACGUAGGGUGCGAGCGUUGUCCGGAAUUAUUGGGCGUAAAGGGCUCGUAGGCGGUUUGUCGCGUCGGGAGUGAAAUCCACUGGCUUAACUGGUGGCUUGCUUUCGAUACGGGCAGACUGGAGGUAUGCAGGGGAGAACGGAAUUCCUGGUGUAGCGGUGAAAUGCGUAGAUAUUGGGAGGAACACCAGUGGCGAAGGCGGCUCACUGGACCGGAACUGACGCUGAGGCGCGAAAGCGUGGGGAGCAAACGGG